CAGUAGCCACGGUAAUACGUAGGUGGCAAGCGUUGUCCGGAAUUAUUGGGCGUAAAGGGCUCGCAGGCGGUUUCUUAAGUCUGAUGUGAAAGCCCCCGGCUCAACCGGGGAGGGUCAUUGGAAACUGGGAAACUUGAGUGCAGAGGAGGAGAGUGGAAUUCCACGUGUAGCGGUGAAAUGCGUAGGGAUGUGGAGGAACACCAGUGGCGAAGGCGACUCUCUGGUCUGUAACUGACGCUGAGGAGCGAAAGCGUGGGGAGCAAACAGGAUUAGAGACCCCUGUAGUCCCUGUCUCUUAUAC
rnacentral:rRNA from 1 species